GGUGAUACGUAGGUCUAAGCACAUUAACUUUUCGAGGAAGCUAAGUCCGUCCUCCUGUACAUUAAAAAAAGUCAUGAAUGUUAGAGAAAAUGAAACAGCUAGAACCAAAGGCAGGAAGCAUAACAAAAUACAAUUACGGUAUUCAAUUGACGCAACCUCUGCAUAUAAGAUAUCUCAAUGUUAUUAAGACUUUGUUCAACUAUACUUUUGAAACAAACUUUUUAUUUUGCUGUUAAUUUAUUUUUUUAUCCUCCAUUUUUCUUCUCCCAAAACACACGGUAUAUUCCAAUUUCUUCUUCAUUUUCUCUUUCAAAGUUGAUUCUCUGGUUCUCAUUCCCUUUUAUCAAAGUUGAGUCUCUGGUUCUCCUUCCCUUUUAUUUUCUUCAAUUCUUCCAAGGUUUUUGCCCCCCCCCUCUCUCUCUCUCUCUCUCUCUCUACUUCUCUAAUUCCAUCUUCUCAUUUCAACUCCCCAAACUUUUUCAUUUUUUCGCCAUUUCAAGUUAAGCUAUUUUUGGUUCCCCAUUUCCUUUUUAAUUCUUCCAUCGGUGAUGAGUAUGGUUAAUAAUUCCAACGGUGAUGAAAGUGAUGAUGAAAGGGAAAUGAAAGAAAUUUUACAACGCAUGGAAUGUUUUAAUUGAUUAUUUGUUGUUGCAUCUUCUUCUGUACAAUUAUAUUAUAAGAAGGAUAUAUUAAAGUAACCACGCAUGGAUUUAAAACAGUCAACUGAGGCAUGGAUUCGAGAGAUCCUUAAUGGUCAUAGAUCAUGUUGUAUGAUUAAUUUUAGGAUGUCUAAUAUUGCAUUCAUAAGUUUGUUUAGUGUUUUGUAGACGAGAUACAAUUUGCAAAUUUCAAGACAUAUCUUCUUAUGAAA